rnacentral:rRNA from 1 species
UACGUAGGGGGCAAGCGUUGUCCGGAAUCAUUGGGCGUAAAGCGCGCGUAGGCGGCCCGGUAAGUCCGCUGUGAAAGUCGGGGGCUCAACCCUCGGAUGCCGGUGGAUACUGUCGGGCUAGAGUGCGGGAGAGGCGAGUGGAAUUCCUGGUGUAGCGGUGAAAUGCGCAGAUAUCAGGAGGAACACCAAUUGCGAAGGCAGCUCGCUGGAACGUAACUGACGCUGAGACGCGAAAGCGUGGGGAGCAAACAGG